rnacentral:lncRNA from 13 species
AUGGCCCCAUGCAGUCCCUCCCGGAACUUUCCGGACAUAGCACUUCUCUCCUCCGCUGCAGAGAACCACGCUUCCAGGCGGAGGAGGAAGGAGGGCGACGAUGAGGAGGUGGCGGCGGCGGCGGCGAUAGAAGCGGCGGUGGCGGGAGCUGGAGCUGAAAGUGAGAAGCAUCGCGGCCGAGCGCCGCCGCCUCGCGAGCCGCAGAGGGGUUCCCGCCCCCAGGGUAACCAACGCUCCCUCUUAAAGGCGCCGGCCUCCGUUUUAGACCUGGACGUAAGGGGAGGAGAGAGGAGAGAGAGAGGAAGGAGAGGCAAGACCUACAUCUCCAGUCUUAACAUCUAACCUCCUUAGCAAUUGGUCUCAUCAGAAAGAGAGCAAGCUAAAGAAUAUCUCAUCAAACCCAUGUGGAUCCUGUGCUUAUCUCUGAACAAACCAUUAUAACCAUGGGAUGGAACAGCAGACUGGCGUCAUUUGCCUGUAUCUGAAAAAAGAUCAAGGGAAGCUGGGUAUGGUGACUCACGCCUGUAAUACCAGCACUUUGGGAGGCCAAGGCAGGUGGAUCACAAGGUCAGGAGUUCGAGAACAGUCUGGCAAACAUAGGGAAACCUCCCCUCUACUAAAAAUAAAAUAAAAAAUAAAAAUAAAUUAGCCA